UACCAUGCAGUCGAGCGGAUGACGGGAGCUUGCUCCUUGAUUCAGCGGCGGACGGGUGAGUAAUGCCUAGGAAUCUGCCUGGUAGUGGGGGACAACGUUUCGAAAGGAACGCUAAUACCGCAUACGUCCUACGGGAGAAAGCAGGGGACCUUCGGGCCUUGCGCUAUCAGAUGAGCCUAGGUCGGAUUAGCUAGUUGGUGAGGUAAUGGCUCACCAAGGCGACGAUCCGUAACUGGUCUGAGAGGAUGAUCAGUCACACUGGAACUGAGACACGGUCCAGACUCCUACGGGAGGCAGCAGUGGGGAAUAUUGGACAAUGGGCGAAAGCCUGAUCCAGCCAUGCCGCGUGUGUGAAGAAGGUCUUCGGAUUGUAAAGCACUUUAAGUUGGGAGGAAGGGCAUUAACCUAAUACGUUAGUGUUUUGACGUUACCGACAGAAUAAGCACCGGCUAACUCUGUGCCAGCAGCCGCGGUAAUACAGAGGGUGCAAGCGUUAAUCGGAAUUACUGGGCGUAAAGCGCGCGUAGGUGGUUUGUUAAGUUGGAUGUGAAAGCCCCGGGCUCAACCUGGGAACUGCAUCCAAAACUGGCAAGCUAGAGUACGGUAGAGGGUGGGUGGAAUUUCCUGUGUAGCGGUGAAAUGCGUAGAUAUAGGAAGGAACACCAGUGGCGAAGGCGACCACCUGGACUGAUACUGACACUGAGGUGCGAAAGCGUGGGGAGCAAACAGGAUUAGAUACCCUGGUAGUCCACGCCGUAAACGAUGUCAACUAGCCGUUGGAAUCCUUGAGAUUUUAGUGGCGCAGCUAACGCAUUAAGUUGACCGCCUGGGGAGUACGGCCGCAAGGUUAAAACUCAAAUGAAUUGACGGGGGCCCGCACAAGCGGUGGGAGCAUGUGGUUUAAUUCGAAGCAACGCGAAGAACCUUACCAGGCCUUGACAUGCAGAGA
rnacentral:rRNA from 1 species